rnacentral:rRNA from 1 species
AGAGUUUGAUCCUGGCUCAGGAUGAACGCUAGCGACAGGCUUAACACAUGCAAGUCGAGGGGCAGCAAUUUGUAGCAAUACAAAGUUGGCGACCGGCGCACGGGUGAGUAACGCGUAUGCAACCUACCCACAACAGAAGAAUAAUCCGGCGAAAGUCGGUCUAAUACUUCAUAAAACAGGGACACCGCAUGGUGUUAUUUGUUAAAGAUUUAUCGGUUGUGGAUGGGCAUGCGUACCAUUAGGUAGUUGGUGAGGUAACGGCUCACCAAGCCUACGAUGGUUAGGGGUUCUGAGAGGAAAGUCCCCCACACUGGUACUGAGACACGGACCAGACUCCUACGGGAGGCAGCAGUGAGGAAUAUUGGUCAAUGGUCGGAAGACUGAACCAGCCAUGCCGCGUGCAGGAAGAAUGCCUUAUGGGUUGUAAACUGCUUUUAUAUGGGAAGAAUAAGGUGUACGUGUACAUUGAUGACGGUACCAUAUGAAUAAGCAUCGGCUAACUCCGUGCCAGCAGCCGCGGUAAUACGGAGGAUGCGAGCGUUAUCCGGAUUUAUUGGGUUUAAAGGGUGCGUAGGCGGCCUGUUAAGUCAGCGGUGAAAUCUAGGAGCUUAACUCCUAAAUUGCCAUUGAUACUGGCGGGCUUGAGUGUAGAUGAGGUAGGCGGAAUGCGUGGUGUAGCGGUGGAAUGCAUAGAUAUCACGCAGAACUCCGAUUGCGAAGGCAGCUUACUAAGGUACAACUGACGCUGAAGCACGAAAGCGUGGGUAUCAAACAGGAUUAGAUACCCUGGUAGUCCACGCAGUAAACGAUGAUAACUGGGCGUAUGCGAUAUACAGUAUGCUCCUAAGCGAAAGCGUUAAGUUAUCCACCUGGGGAGUACGCCGGCAACGGUGAAACUCAAAGGAAUUGACGGGGGCCC